rnacentral:rRNA from 1 species
UACGGGGGGAGCAAGCGUUGUUCGGAUUUACUGGGCGUAAAGGGCGCGUAGGCGGUCGUGACAAGUCACUUGUGAAAUCUCCGGGCUUAACUCGGAAAGGUCAAGUGAUACUGUCGGACUAGAGUACAGAAGGGGCAACUGGAAUUCUUGGUGUAGCGGUGAAAUGCGUAGAUAUCAAGAGGAACACCUGCGGCGAAGGCGGGUUGCUGGGCCGACACUGACGCUGAGGCGCGAAAGCUAGGGGAGCGAACGGG